rnacentral:piRNA from 1 species
UCUCAAAUAAUUUCAAGUUCC